AGCAGUAGCCGCGGUAAUGCGUAGGGUGCAAGCGUUUAUCGGAAUUACUGGGCGUAAAGCGUGCGUAGGCGGUUUGUUAAGUCUGUUGUGAAAUCCCCGGGCUCAACCUGGGAAUGGCAAUGGAUACUGGCAAGCUAGAGUGUGUCAGAGGAUGGUGGAAUUCCCGGUGUAGCGGUGAAAUGCGUAGAGAUCGGGAGGAACAUCAGUGGCGAAGGCGGCCAUCUGGGACAACACUGACGCUGAGGCACGAAAGCGUGGGGAGCAAACAGGAUUAGAUACCCCAGUAGUCCCUGUCUCUUAUAC
rnacentral:rRNA from 1 species